CUUAACCAAUGAGCGUGGAGACACUGGUAUGGCAUACAGGUGAGAUGUAAGGGUACAUCUAUACUGAACGUGACCGACUCCGGAGCUAUUUCUGCUGUCAAGAUUUGCUCCGAUGGAAUAUGGGUAUAAAUAUCCCUCCGACCUGAGACCACCACGGUGACUUGCAAGCAACUCACUGCACUUAGGCACUGGACUACCUGAAUUUCUAAUUCAGUGACGGAAGGCUGCUGGGUAUAGUCAAGUACUUGACUUGUCGGUGCAUGUGUCAAGAUGGGAUUGACCACUCCAGUUUAGGAGCUGU
rnacentral:lncRNA from 1 species